rnacentral:lncRNA from 1 species
CCCCGCCCGAGCCGCCGGCCAUGAGGGCUCCGGGCGGGCUGUGGGGAUGGACGGAUGGCGAUGGGAUGGGAUGGAUGCCAGCCCCUCACAGUGUUCCUCGUUUUCUUGUCAGGACAGAUUCAGAGCUGGGUGGGAGCAUCGCUGGCCCCAGGUGUGUCGUGCAGUGAUGUCGUUGGUCAGUCAGCGUUCACAGAUUCACCGAACAGGUCAAGUUGGAAGGACCACAAACUCAGGUCCGAAUUACCUGCUGCAGCAGGCUCAUCUCAGAGUGCAUGGCAGUGCCUUGUGUCCAGACAGUCCUGGAAUAUCUCCAGCAAGGGAGAGCGCACAGCCUGCCUGAUCUCUGUCCAAGUGCACAGCCACUGUCACAGUGUUGUUUUCACGCUUACUUCAUUGACUGAUUGCUGUGUAACAACCAUGUCUCCUAUUUCUUUAUGCAUGUCAAACACGUGCAGGUUGAGAAGCCUCUGGCAUGUUGAAGGUGAUGCUCUCUGGAGCUCUUGGGCAUUGAUAAAGCUGACUAAUCAAAUUAUGUGCUCUGACUUCAGUGAGUUGCCUGCAGGUUGGGGAAGGACUUGUAAUGAAGGAGGAUUGAAGCAGGAAGAACUGCCAUUGUGCCUCACUCACUCACUCCCUGCCUCAAGGUCCAGGAGGUGGUCGAUAUCCCCUGCACACUGGGCAGAGGUGCCUUCUGAGGCUGCUGGAGGAUCAUCACCUUUCUGUUAACGCUGGGAUCUCACCUACCACGGCAUUCAACUCAAUACCAUGCUGUGAUAAAACACUAACAGCACCCUGCUCCUCUCCUUCCAUUCUGCUCUCCUCCCUACUUCGGUGUACUCCUCACUUUUUGCCUGUGCUAGCCAAUAAGCAAGUUCUUCAGCAAUAUACUUUUUAAGACAAGUAUUAGCAGUGCAGCUUUGUUGGUCUCACAGCUGGAACCAGUCCCUCUUAGGCUGGUGCCUUCCCAGAAUGCUCACUAAAAAUAAAACUUUUCAAGAUAUGUGAAUAAUUUAUUGUCCUUGUAUGACAAAUGACAACACUCCAUGGCUAAAUUGCCCUUUUUUACUUAUCAACUGCUGCAUCCAUCAUUUCCAAUAAAAAUAAAGCCAGCAGUUAUCUCUGGGAAGAGCAUGUCAUGUAACCAGUCAUGCUGAGAAAAGAAAGUGAUGUCUCCUCAGGUCAGAAGGAAUAAAUUUUUGCAGGUAGAACAAACUAAACAUUCCAAAAGCUGCCUGAGAAACUGAAGACUCAUCAGUUUUAAACCUGUCAUUGUUUAUCAUAGGUAAGGGUCUCUGUUUUGUUAUUUGAGGAUGUGCCCGUAUUUUAAUCUCUGCUGUAUAAAGUCAAAUUCACCAUAUUGUCUUACACAAUGGUGCUGCUCUGUGCUGCGGACUUCUGAGGAUGUUAGUGGGCAUUCCUAGAUCCAGAAUACCAUUCCACACAUCACUGAAAGGCUCUGGAUGCAAAUCCAAACCGGAUGUCUAAAAACCCAGGGGUACAAGGCCUCCUGCCACUGUUCCUCAAGGCAAAGGUGCUGCUUUUAUAACUGCAGCACUUUCUUGUGAGUGGCAGAAUAUAUUUAGAAUAUCCAUGUAAUACUGUGUAGAGAUCCACUGUGUGGGAGGUUGAUCUAGGAGUGGGACAGUGUCCUCUGCUGCUCCCAGGUCCAUCUGUGGGAAGAGACACUGAAAGCUGGAACUCUUUGAUCUUCUCCUGCUGUCUCUUGGCACACAGCGUCCACUUUGCUCUCUCCCUAAAAGUGUCAGUGGCUUUUCAUAUCCGCAGCAUCUGUUGUUCAUAAAUGGAUGAUUCCUGUGGAAAUCAUCUUGGGAAAGUUCUUUCAUGCCAUGCUCAGACCUUGGCCAGCUUCAUCCCACCUCCCCAAAAAUCCUCCUCCUGGGCCUGCAGCACAGGAAUCUUCAAGGAGAGAGGGGGAAGAAGUGAAAAGAACAAAAUACAACAGGACAAUCAAGCCCCCUUGAGCCCUUCCUCAUACAUCUCUGUGAUGCUUCAUCAUCUCUAAAAAUAGAACUUAAGUCCAUUGGGAAUCACAACUCAUCUUUUGUUCUGUGAAGUACCCCUUGGGUUGGGAGUUUUGUUUUAAAAAGCCGUGGAUGAGAUAGAAGGGUGGGCAUUAAGGUGCUUUGUUUCCUUGUUCUCACUAGCAGAGUGAGCACUUCUUAGGGGUGAUGAUCGACUUGAGAAUGUCCAAACCAAGUUGCCCGUUGCUUUUCAGAGCUGGAAUGAAAGGAGAAGGGAGACCACAGGAGCCUGAGGCAUCAACAUGCAGGGGGAUUUGGGCAGAAGUGCAUGGUCUUCCCCAACCAGGGCCCUUCUCACCUCCCAUUACCUUAAACAAAUAGAAAAAUAAUAGCAUGAGUAAUUAAACACAGAGAAAACAGGCGGGAUCAACUGAUUGAUCUUUUGAUGAUAAAUCAAGUAAAUUGACACAGGUAGGAGUGGAAAGCAGAGCUCAAAGGGUGAUCUGUUUGAAUUGCAGUCACAAUUUGAAACAGCAUCUGUUGCCUUCUUGGGUUGAACUGAACACUUCCAUGCCUGGGAUUUUUUCAGAAUUGACUCACUAAGACUCUUCAGGGGGAGUAAAAUACUAAAAAGUUCUAUGAAAUUUGAGUUUGGGCUGCAAGGGAUUGUAAAAGACCAUUGCUCACAUUUUGUGGAAGCUCAGGUGGAAGCCUGGGACAUCCUCCUACCUCAUGGCUGUGCCAUUUUCUCAACUGGGGACUCAGAUAAAGGUUUGGCUUCAGCUUCCUCUACCCAGUGGGUAUUACUCUUCUGCAAUUUCCAGAAAAUGGCAGGAAAAAUCCAAUCUGUGCUCAGAAGGAGAGAGCUGGAAUGUGAAGUAACAUGACAAAGGCAGAGCAGAGGGACAUGAACUGACGGUGAAGGGCAAGUCUGCAGCCCUGCCUGUAAGUGAAGUUUCUCUUCAGUCAGUAUUUCACUGUGUGAGCAGUUUAUUCUGGACAAGGAACAUCUCUGAAAUGGUGCAGAAUGUUUUGUCCUGCCAGGAGCAGGGGGUGUGUGACCACACGGCCACCUUGGUGUCAUGACUCAGAGUAUUCCCACAUGGAACAGCAUCCCUGGAGGAUCGACAGGGAUCAUUUUUGUGAAGUUUCUUUUCCAUCUACGUGAUGUAGAGAAGCAUUUGACAAAUGAUGAUGGCAAGCGUAACUCUGAUGAUAAAAGGCACAUGAACAGUUUUGUGUGAACCUGUGAAAUCUCUGGAGUUAUUGAGAAUUUCCUCCUUCCUCCCAUUGGAACAAACUUUAAGAAAUCAAAUCAUUGAUGG